rnacentral:rRNA from 1 species
UACAGAGGUCUCAAGCGUUGUUCGGAUUCAUUGGGCGUAAAGGGCGCGUAGGCGGCGUGACAAGUCACUUGUGAAAUCUCCGGGCUUAACCCGGAGCGGCCAAGUGAUACUGUCGUGCUAGAGUGCGGAAGGGGCUACUGGAAUUCUCGGUGUAGCGGUGAAAUGCGUAGAUAUCGAGAGGAACACCAAUGGCGAAGGCAGCUCGCUGGGACGUGACUGACGCUGAGACGCGAAAGCGUGGGGAGCAAACAGG